UACGUAGGGAGCGAGCGUUGUCCGGAUUCAUUGGGCGUAAAGAGCGUGUAGGCGGUCCGGUAAGUCAGCUGUGAAAGUCAAGGGCUCAACCCUUGAAAGCCGGUUGAUACUGUCGGGCUAGAGUCCGGAAGAGGCGAGUGGAAUUCCCGGUGUAGCGGUGAAAUGCGCAGAUAUCGGGAGGAACACCAAUGGCGAAGGCAGCUCGCUGGGACGGUACUGACGCUGAGACGCGAAAGCGUGGGGAGCAAACAGG
rnacentral:rRNA from 1 species